ACGAAACCAGGCAUAAGUCGCGCAGCCGCGUUCAGAGCUACAGCCAAAUUUAGUCAGGGAAGCGAUUUUCUAUGUGUUUUGACAUCUUGGAAGAAAACGGUACCUUAACACUUAUAUUUUCAAUUUCCAUGGUCAUUACAUUCAAAUUCGGUCAAUAAAGAUGUUUAUUAUGUCAAUUAUGUCAGCGUGAUCAAAAGUUCAGGCUUCACUGAGCAAAGAGAAAGCCGAAAUGGGCCACUUUUCCCCGACCGAAACAACCUCCGAUCUGUUGCGGAUCAUCCAACUGUUUGGUACCAGGAGAAAGCUAAGGAAAUGCCCUGUCCAAUCACGUAGGUCAAAUGGCGAUAUUAUUUUGUAGUUCUUUUAAAAGAGCCAAUCAAAAGAGUAAACCAAACCCUCUUGUUGCUAUGCCUGUCAAGAUCAAGCUCCGUGAUUGGUCAAACGCCCACCGCGUGCUCUCGGGGCAUGCGCAGUUCUCUCACUUACAUCCGCAACAAACCAAGCAUGGUUAGUGUUAUUGCAAGUUUGAUUAAUGUUUCGUCUCGUAAAUAGCCGUAUUUACUCCUCAUUUUUGGACAACAAUGACAAGGACAAAGGCGACUGGGAGUCUGAUGAUGACUGGGAUGCCUUUGAUGAUGAAAAAGACGAUCGAGUGCACGAACUGGGAACAGAUUCAGCAGUGGGGAAGACCAAUGCGAUUUUUACCGCGGACGUAUCUCCCAAUUCUGGCUAUGAAAAGACCAAUAAUCUUUGCAUCAGCAAGGAAAGACUAACAGGCUUACUGAAAUGGUACUCCAAUGGGACAGGACAGGAGGGAGAAAGAGAUCCCUUCAGCUGGACAACAUCAAAGGAGAGGCGACAUUCAUCCAACAACAAGGUUCACAAAAUGCCCUAGUGCUCACUGGACAUGUCCCUGGAUUUAAACGUGAUGAUCUACAGCCCCCGCCUUCAAUUCACACUGCCACCAAGGUCAACCAAAGCUACAAAGAUGUUCUUCUUGGGACAGAGAAGAACUAUUGGACCAUCAAGCACCAACAAGAGUGGAGACUUGAAGAAAGCGACGCAUAUCUGAAUCUUACACUGACUCUGAGAGUGCCCAUAGACAGGUUGUGGGCGUGGAGAUGAACUUUUAAAUCUGUAAAUAUGUGGCAAGUACACAAGAGAAUACGUGAGUAAUGUGUGUGUGUGUGUGUGUGUGUGUGUGUGUGUGUGUGUGUGUGUGUGUGUGCGCGCGCGCGCGCGCGCAUGUGUGUAUGUGUUUAUGCUAAAUGCAUUUAAUUUAAUGCUAUAUUGACCUAAAUGUUCAUGUCCUGUAUGUUGUGUUUUUUUAAGCUUUGGCAGCAUUGAUACUUCCAAGCAUGCCAAUAAAGCACAUUUGAAUUUGAAUAUGCAAGUUAAAUUGUCUUUUUUAGUUCUUUUAGGGUUGCCAUUGGUAAGCGGUAGGGCAGUCAUGGGUAAGCGGUUAGGGCAUCAGACUGUAUCCCAAAGGUUGCCGGUUCGACUCGUGACCCGCCAGGUUGGUGUGGGAGUAAUUAAGCAGUGCUCUCCCCAUAAUCCUCCAAGACUAAGGUACCCUGAGUAUGGUUCCGUCCUGCCGCACUGCUCCCUUUGGGGCGCCAUUGGGGGCUGCCCCCUUUUGAGGCAUAAAUGCAAUUUCAUUGUGCGCAGUGUGCACUUGUGUGCUGUGGAGUGCUGUGUCACAAUGACAAAGGUAGUAGGAGUUUCCCAGUUGGGCUUUCACUUUCUUUAAGGCAUAACAUGAAGACAGAUACAGUAUGAGAGCAUGAAUUGGUGAUAAAAGAUGAUCAUAUUUCAGGUGGAUGAUUUCCCCGAAAUUCCAUUUGGAUGGAAAAGUCAGUUUCCGUUUAAAUAAUAGGUUAAAGUUCUUUGAUUUAAACAAAACUUCUGUGACAUGUCCGUCAUAGUGUCAUUAAUCAUCUGUGAAAAUUUCAUGUCAAUCGGAUGAUAAUUAAUAUGCGUUGCUAAGGACUUUAUACCUAUAAAAUAGUCCAAAACUUUGACGGCCGAUUUCUCGAAAAGGCGUUUCGCGAAAUAUGCCCAAACUCCAAAAGUAAAAUUUCCGUAACUUUGGUUCUACUUAUGAUAGAAACAUAAUUUUUUCACCAUAAUAAACCUUGGGUUCUGCUCUAUCAAUCCACAUAGAUAACUCAUUUUUGAUAUCCAGAGACUUAUGCCUGGUUUUGUGGUGGUGGGUC